UGUUUCGGCUAGGGGGUCAUCCCGACUUACCAACCCGAUGCAAACUACGAAUACCGAAGAAUGUUAUCACGGGAGACACACGGCGGGUGCUAACGUCCGUCGUGAAGAGGGAAACAACCCAGACCGCCAGCUAAGGUCCCAAAGUCAUGGUUAAGUGGGAAACGAUGUGGGAAGGCACAGACAGCCAGGAUGUUGGCUUAGAAGCAGCCAUCAUUUAAAGAAAGCGUAAUAGCUCACUGGUCGAGUCGGCCUGCGCGGAAGAUGUAACGGGGCUAAACCAUGCACCGAAGCUGCGGCAGCGACACUAUGUGUUGUUGGGUAGGGGAGCGUUCUGUAAGCCUGCGAAGGUGUGCUGUGAGGCAUGCUGGAGGUAUCAGAAGUGCGAAUGCUGACAUAAGUAACGAUAAAGCGGGUGAAAAGCCCGCUCGCCGGAAGACCAAGGGUUCCUGUCCAACGUUAAUCGGGGCAGGGUGAGUCGACCCCUAAGGCGAGGCCGAAAGGCGUAGUCGAUGGGAAACAGGUUAAUAUUCCUGUACUUGGUGUUACUGCGAAGGGGGGACGGAGAAGGCUAUGUUAGCCGGGCGACGGUUGUCCCGGUUUAAGCAUGUAGGCUGAUUGUCCAGGCAAAUCCGGAUAAUCAAGGCUGAGGUGUGAUGACGAGGCACUACGGUGCUGAAGUAACAAAUGCCCUGCUUCCAGGAAAAGCCUCUAAGCAUCAGGUAACAUCAAAUCGUACCCCAAACCGACACAGGUGGUCAGGUAGAGAAUACCAAGGCGCUUGAGAGAACUCGGGUGAAGGAACUAGGCAAAAUGGUGCCGUAACUUCGGGAGAAGGCACGCUGGUGUGUAGGUGAAGUCCCUGCGGAUGGAGCUGAGACCAGUCGAAGAUACCAGCUGGCUGCAACUGUUUAUUAAAAACACAGCACUGUGCAAACACGAAAGUGGACGUAUACGGUGUGACGCCUGCCCGGUGCCGGAAGGUUAAUUGAUGGGGUUAUCCGUAAGGAGAAGCUCUUGAUCGAAGCCCCGGUAAACGGCGGCCGUAACUAUAACGGUCCUAAGGUAGCGAAAUUCCUUGUCGGGUAAGUUCCGACCUGCACGAAUGGCGUAAUGAUGGCCAGGCUGUCUCCACCCGAGACUCAGUGAAAUUGAACUCGCUGUGAAGAUGCAGUGUACCCGCGGCAAGACGGAAAGACCCCGUGAACCUUUACUAUAGCUUGACACUGAACAUUGAGCCUUGAUGUGUAGGAUAGGUGGGAGGCUUUGAAGCGUGGACGCCAGUCUGCGUGGAGCCAACCUUGAAAUACCACCCUUUAAUGUUUGAUGUUCUAACGUUGGCCCCUUACCGGGGUUGCGGACAGUGUCUGGUGGGUAGUUUGACUGGGGCGGUCUCCUCCCAAAGCGUAACGGAGGAGCACGAAGGUUAGCUAAUCCUGGUCGGACAUCAGGAGGUUAGUGCAAUGGCAUAAGCUAGCUUGACUGCGAGCGUGACGGCGCGAGCAGGUGCGAAAGCAGGUCAUAGUGAUCCGGUGGUUCUGAAUGGAAGGGCCAUCGCUCAACGGAUAAAAGGUACUCCGGGGAUAACAGGCUGAUACCGCCCAAGAGUUCAUAUCGACGGCGGUGUUUGGCACCUCGAUGUCGGCUCAUCACAUCCUGGGGCUGAAGUAGGUCCCAAGGGUAUGGCUGUUCGCCAUUUAAAGUGGUACGCGAGCUGGGUUUAGAACGUCGUGAGACAGUUCGGUCCCUAUCUGCCGUGGGCGCUGGAGAAUUGAGGGGGGCUGCUCCUAGUACGAGAGGACCGGAGUGGACGCAUCACUGGUGUUCGGGUUGUCAUGCCAAUGGCACUGCCCGGUAGCUAAAUGCGGAAGAGAUAAGUGCUGAAAGCAUCUAAGCACGAAACUUGCCCCGAGAUGAGUUCUCCCUGAGACUU
rnacentral:rRNA from 1 species